GAUGAACGCUCGCGAUAGGCUUAACACAUGCAAGUCGAGGGGCAGCAUGGUCUUAGCUUGCUAAGGCUGAUGGCGACCGGCGCACGGGUGCGUAACGCGUAUGCAACUUGCCUCACAGAGGGGGAUAACCCGUCGAAAGACGGACUAAUACCGCGUACACUCUAUGUUGGGCAUCCAAUGUAGAGGAAAUGAAAUUCGCUGUGAGAUAGGCAUGCGUCCCAUUAGCUAGUUGGUGAGGUAACGGCUCACCAAGGCGACGAUGGGUAGGGGAACUGAGAGGUUGAACCCCCACACUGGUACUGAGACACGGACCAGACUCCUACGGGAGGCAGCAGUGAGGAAUAUUGGUCAAUGGGCGAGAGCCUGAACCAGCCAAGUCGCGUGAAGGAUGACUGUCUUAUGGAUUGUAAACUCCUUUUAUACGGGAAUAACAAGAGUCACGUGUGGCUCCCUGCAUGUACCGUAUGAAUAAGCAUCGGCUAACUCCGUG
rnacentral:rRNA from 1 species